CUCUACUAUCUUCAUUUGUUAUAUAUAGAUAAAUAAUUAUGCUCUGAUAUCAUGGUUUGCAGACUCCAGAAUGGACAAUAAAACUUAUUGGAUAAACUUGCAAGUUUUAGUCUAACGCUUAAGUUUGAGGCCUGCAUCGAUCUUGAGGAAGAAACUGAAAUCAACCAAGUCUUGGGGAGUCAUGCAACAGGAAAGUUGCACACGUGGAAGGACUUUCAGAGUGUCAAAAGGG